AUGAACGCUGGCGGCGUGCCUAAUACAUGCAAGUCGAGCGAACAGACGAGGAGCUUGCUCCUCUGACGUUAGCGGCGGACGGGUGAGUAACACGUGGAUAACCUACAUAUAAGACUGGGAUAACUUCGGGAAACCGGAGCUAAUACCGGAUAAUAUAUUGAACCGCAUGGUUCAAUAGUGAAAGACGGUUUUGCUGUCACUUAUAGAUGGAUCCGCGCCGCAUUAGCUAGUUGGUAAGGUAACGGCUUACCAAGGCAACGAUGCGUAGCCGACCUGAGAGGGUGAUCGGCCACACUGGAACUGAGACACGGUCCAGACUCCUACGGGAGGCAGCAGUAGGGAAUCUUCCGCAAUGGGCGAAAGCCUGACGGAGCAACGCCGCGUGAGUGAUGAAGGUCUUCGGAUCGUAAAACUCUGUUAUUAGGGAAGAACAAAUGUGUAAGUAACUAUGCACGUCUUGACGGUACCUAAUCAGAAAGCCACGGCUAACUACGUG
rnacentral:rRNA from 1 species